rnacentral:rRNA from 1 species
GCUCGUAGUUGGAUCUCGCCGAGUUGAGGGACGUUCGUUUUUCGACGCAACUACCUCGUUUACUCGUGAUUAUUGACUGAGGCGCUAGGGUGACCUUCAUUGAUUGUCCUAGUGGCUCGUCAGGUUUACUUUGAAAAAAUUAGAGUGCUCAAAGCAGGCUUAACAGCUUGAAUAUUCGUGCAUGGAAUAAUAGAAUAGGAUGUCGUUUCUAUUUUGUUGGUUUAUCGGAAAUCGACAUAAUGAUUAACAGGGACAGUCGGGGGCAUUAGUAUUCAGGCGACAGAGGUGAAAUUCUUGGACCGUCUGAAGACUAACUACUGCGAAAGCAUUUGCCAAGAAUGUUUUCAUUAAUCAAGAACGAAAGUUAGAGGUUCGAAGGCGAUCAGAUACCGCCCUAGUUCUAACCAUAAACAAUGCCAACUAGCGAUCCGCUGAUGUGUAUUUUUACAGCACAGCGGGAAGCUUCCGGGAAACCAAAGUCUUUGGGUUCCGGGGGAAGUAUGGUUGCAAAGCUGAAACUUAAAGUAAUUGACGGAAGGGCACCACCAGGAGUGGAGCCUGCGGCUUAAUUUGACUCAACACGGGAAAUCUCACCAGGCCCGGACACUGGAAGGAUUGACAGAUUGAGAGCUCUUUCUCGAUUCGGUGGGUGGUGGUGCAUGGCCGUUCUUAGUUGGUGGAGUGAUUUGUCUGGUUAAUUCCGAUAACGAACGAGACUCUGUCCUGCUAAAUAGUUUCAACGUCCAUUUACGUGCGUUGGAAUUUCUUCUUAGAGGGACUGGUAGCGUAUAGCUACACGAGAUUGAGCAAUAACAGGUCUGUGAUGCCCUUAGAUGUUCUGGGCUGCACGCGCGCUACACUGAAGGGAUCAGCGUGUCCUCCCUCUCCGAGAGGAGCGGGUAACCCGCUGAAUCCCCUUCGUGGUAGGGAUCGGGGCUUGCAAUUAUUCCCCGUGAACCAGGAAUUCCCAGUAAGCGCAAGUCAUAAGCUUGCGUUGAUUACGUCCCUGCCCUUUGUACACACCGCCCGUCGCUACUACCGAUUGAACGUUUUAGUGAGGUAUUUGGAUUGAGCCUCCGAAGGUUU